rnacentral:rRNA from 1 species
GAGGAAUAUUGGUCAAUGGACGGAAGUCUGAACCAGCCAAGUAGCGUGCAGGAUGACGGCCCUAUGGGUUGUAAACUGCUUUUGUAUGGGGAUAAAGUUAGGGACGUGUCCCUAUUUGCAGGUACCAUACGAAUAAGGACCGGCUAAUUCCGUGCCAGCAACCGCGGUAAUACGGAAGGUCCAGGCGUUAUCCGGAUUUAUUGGGUUUAAGGGGAGCGUAGGCUGGAGAUUAAGUGUGUUGUGAAAUGUAGACGCUCAACGUCUGAAUUGCAGCGCAUACUGGUUUCCUUGAGUACGCACAACGUUGGCGGAAUUCGUCGUGUAGCGGUGAAAUGCUUAGAUAUGACGAAGAACUCCGAUUGCGAAGGCAGCUGACGGGAGCGCAACUGACGCUUAAGCUCGAAGGUGCGGGUAUCAAACAGGAUUAGAUACCCUGGUAGUCCGCACAGUAAACGAUGGAUGCCCGCUGUUGGUACCUGGUAUCAGCGGCUAAGCGAAAGCAUUAAGCAUCCCACCUGGGGAGUACGCCGGCAACGGUG